rfam:Aspergillus oryzae RIB40 DNA, chromosome 1.
GGUAAGGUGGCCGAGUGGUUAAGGCGGUGGACUUAAGACCCACUAUCGAUUGAUGCAUGGGUUCGAACCCCAUCCUUACCA